rnacentral:rRNA from 1 species
UACGAGGGGGGCGAGCGUUGUUCGGAAUUAUUGGGCGUAAAGGGUGCGUAGGCGGCCUGACAAGUCUGAUGUGAAAUCCCUGGGCUCAACCCAGGGCCUGCAUCGGAAACUGUCGGGCUUGAGUAUGGGAGAGGUGAGUGGAAUUUCCGGUGUAGCGGUGAAAUGCGUAGAUAUCAGGAGGAACACCAAUGGCGAAGGCAGCUCGCUGGGACGGUACUGACGCUGAGGCGCGAAAGCGUGGGGAGCAAACAGG